AGUUAAGUGACUAAGCGUACAAGGUGGAUGCCUUGGCAAUCAGAGGCGAAGAAGGACGUGCUAAUCUGCGAAAAGCUUGGAUGAGUCGAUAAGAGGCGUUUAAUCCAAGAUGUCCGAAUGGGGAAACCCAGUAGAUGAAGAAUCUACUAUCACUUACUGAAUCCAUAGGUAAGUGAGGCAAACCGGGAGAACUGAAACAUCUAAGUACCCCGAGGAAAAGAAAUCAACCGAGAUUUCGUUAGUAGCGGCGAGCGAACGCGAAGGAGCCUGUUAGUGAUAAUGACAGAGACAGAGGAACAAGCUGGGAAGCUUGGCGAUACAGGGUGAUAGCCCCGUACUCGAAGUCCAAGUCAUGGUACUAAGCUAACGACAAGUAGGGCGGGACACGUGAUAUCCUGUUUGAAGAUGGGGGGACCAUCCUCCAAGGCUAAAUACUCCUGAUUGACCGAUAGUGAACCAGUACUGUGAAGGAAAGGCGAAAAGAACCCCGGUGAGGGGAGUGAAAUAGAACCUGAAACCUUGUACGUACAAGCAGUGGGAGCCUGAAAGGGUGACUGCGUACCUUUUGUAUAAUGGGUCAGCGACUUAUAUUUUGUAGCGAGGUUAACCGAAUAGGGGAGCCGAAGGGAAACCGAGUCUUAACUGCUGGAGGACCGAACCGACUAAUGUUGAAAAAUUAGCGGAUGACUUGUGGCUGGGGGUGAAAGGCCAAUCAAACCGGGAGAUAGCUGGUUCUCCCCGAAAUCUAUUUAGGUAGAGCCUUGAGCGGACACCUUCGGGGGUAGAGCACUGUUUCGGCUAGGGGUCCAUCCCGGAUUACCAACCCGAUGCAAACUACGAAUACCGAAGAGUGAUACUCAGGAGACACACGGCGGGUGCUAACGUCCGUCGUGGAGAGGGAAACAACCCAGACCGCCAGCUAAGGUCCCAAAGUCUAUAUUAAGUGGGAAACGAAGUGGGAAGGCUUAGACAGCUAGGAUGUUGGCUUAGAAGCAGCCAUCAUUUAAAGAAAGCGUAAUAGCUCACUAGUCGAGUCGGCCUGCGCGGAAGAUGUAACGGGGCUCAAAUAUAGCACCGAAGCUGCGGCAUCAGACAAAAGUCUGUUGGGUAGGGGAGCGUUCUGUAAGCGGAUGAAGGUGUGUUGAGAAGCAUGCUGGACGUAUCAGAAGUGCGAAUGCUGACAUAAGUAACGAUAAAACGGGUGAAAAACCCGUUCGCCGGAAGACCAAGGGUUCCUGUCCAACGUUAAUCGGGGCAGGGUGAGUCGGCCCCUAAGGCGAGGCUGAAAAGCGUAGUCGAUGGGAAACGGGUUAAUAUUCCCGUACUUGGUAAAGCUGCGAUGUGGGGACGGAGCAGGUUAGGUUAGCGUGCUGUUGGAUAUGCACGUUUAAGUUGGUAGGUGGGGAGUUUAGGCAAAUCCGGACUUCCUUAACACUGAGAGAUGAUGACGAGGCUCUACGGAGCUGAAGUAACUGAUACCACACUUCCAGGAAAAGCCACUAAGCGAAAGGCUUUACUAAACCGUACUGAAAACCGACACAGGUGGUCAGGUAGAGAAUACUCAGGCGCUUGAGAGAACUCGGGUGAAGGAACUAGGCAAAAUAGCACCGUAACUUCGGGAGAAGGUGCGCCGGCGUAGAUUGUAGUCCCUCGCGGGCGAAGGUUGAACCGGUCGAAGAUACCAGCUGGCUGCAACUGUUUAUUAAAAACACAGCACUCUGCAAACACGAAAGUGGACGUAUAGGGUGUGAUGCCUGCCCGGUGCUGGAAGGUUAAUUGAUGGUGUAAUCGAAAGAGAAGCUCCUGAUCGAAGCCCCAGUAAACGGCGGCCGUAACUAUAACGGUCCUAAGGUAGCGAAAUUCCUUGUCGGGUAAGUUCCGACCUGCACGAAUGGCAUAAUGAUGGCCAGGCUGUCUCCACCCGAGACUCAGUGAAAUUGAAAUCGCCGUGAAGAUGCGGUGUACCCGCGGCUAGACGGAAAGACCCCGUGAACCUUUACUAUAGCUUGACACUGAACAUUGAAUUUUGAUGUGUAGGAUAGGUGGGAGACUUUGAAGUAGUCACGCCAGUGAUUAUGGAGUCGUCCUUGAAAUACCACCCUUUAACGUUUGAUGUUCUAACGAAGAUUACGAAACGUGGUCUCGGACAGUGUCUGGUGGGUAGUUUGACUGGGGCGGUCUCCUCCCAAAGAGUAACGGAGGAGCACGAAGGUUUGCUAAUGACGGUCGGACAUCGUCAGGUUAGUGCAAUGGUAUAAGCAAGCUUAACUGCGAGACAGACAAGUCGAGCAGGUACGAAAGUAGGUCAUAGUGAUCCGGUGGUUCUGAAUGGAAGGGCCAUCGCUCAACGGAUAAAAGGUACUCCGGGGAUAACAGGCUGAUACCGCCCAAGAGUUCAUAU
rnacentral:rRNA from 1 species